rnacentral:rRNA from 1 species
UACAGAGGGGGCGAGCGUUGUUCGGAAUUACUGGGCGUAAAGGGCGCGUAGGCGGCCUUCUAAGUCGAACGUGAAAUCCCCGGGCUCAACCCGGGAACUGCGUCCGAUACUGGGAGGCUUGAAUCCGGGAGAGGGAUGUGGAAUUCCAGGUGUAGCGGUGAAAUGCGUAGAUAUCUGGAGGAACACCGGUGGCGAAGGCGGCAUCCUGGACCGGUAUUGACGCUGAGGCGCGAAAGCAUGGGGAGCGAACAGG